rnacentral:rRNA from 1 species
CCAGGGUGAAGGUCAGGUAACACUGACUGGAGGCCCGAACCCACGCACGUUGAAAAGUGCGGGGAUGAGGUGUGGGUAGGGGUGAAAUGCCAAUCGAACACGGAGAUAGCUGGUUCUCUCCGAAAUAGCUUUAGGGCUAGUCUCAAGAGUUGAGUACUGGAGGUAGAGCACUGAUUGGACUAGGGGCCCUUACCGGGUUACCGAAUUCAGUCAAACUCCGAAUGCCAGCCACUCCAUCUUGGGAGUCAGACUAUGGGUGAUAAGGUUCAUAGUCGAAAGGG